rnacentral:rRNA from 1 species
GACGAACGCUGGCGGUGUGCUCAACACAUGCAAGUCGAACGGUAAGGCCCUUUCGGGGGUACUCGCGUGGCGAACGGGAGGGUAACACGAGAUUAACCUGCCCUCCUCUCUGGGAUAACAGUCGGAAACGGUUGCUAAUACUUGACAUGAGCUCGCAAGGCAUCUUGUGGGGUGGACAGAUUUUUUUUGGUUGGGGAUGGACUCGAGGCCUGUCAGCUUGUUGGGGGGGGAGUGGCUCAACAAGGCUUCGAGGGGGAGCCGGCCUGCGAGGGCGAAGGGCCACACUGGAACUGUGCGACGGGCCGAACUCCGGCAUGAGGCAGCAGGGGGGAAUAUUUGACCAUGGACGGAAGUCUGAUGCAGGAACGCCUCGUGCGGGAUGACGGCCUUCGGGUUGUAAGCCGCUGUCAAUUUUAACGCAGCUUUUUUGUGACGGUAGCAAUAGAAUAAGCACCGGCUAACUACGUG